UACAGAGGUCCCAAGCGUUGUUCGGAUUCACUGGGCGUAAAGGGUGCGUAGGCGGUUUGAUAAGUCUGAUGUGAACUCCCGCAGCUUAAUUCCGGCACUGCAUUGGAAACUAUUUGACUAGAGGAAUGGAGGGGAGACUGGAAUACUUGGUGUAGCAGUGAAAUGCGUAGAUAUCAAGUGGAACACCAGUGGCGAAGGCGAGUCUCUGGACAUUUCCUGACGCUGAGGCACGAAAGCCAGGGGAGCAAACGGG
rnacentral:rRNA from 1 species